UGUCGAGCGGUACGAGAGGUGCUUGCUCCUCUGGUGUCGAGCGGCGGACGGGUGAGUAAUGCUUGGGAAUAUGCCUUAUGGUGGGGGACAACAGUUGGAAACGACUGCUAAUACCGCAUGAUGUCUACGGACCAAAGUGGGGGACCUUCGGGCCUCACGCCAUAAGAUUAGCCCAAGUGGGAUUAGCUAGUUGGUGAGGUAAUGGCUCACCAAGGCGACGAUCCCUAGCUGGUUUGAGAGGAUGAUCAGCCACACUGGGACUGAGACACGGCCCAGACUCCUACGGGAGGCAGCAGUGGGGAAUAUUGCACAAUGGGCGCAAGCCUGAUGCAGCCAUGCCGCGUGUGUGAAGAAGGCCUUCGGGUUGUAAAGCACUUUCAGUAAGGAGGAAAGGUUAAGUAUUAAUAGCACUUAGCUGUGACGUUACUUACAGAAGAAGCACCGGCUAACUCCGUGCCAGCAGCCGCGGUAAUACGGAGGGUGCGAGCGUUAAUCGGAAUUACUGGGCGUAAAGCGUACGCAGGGGGUUUGUUUAGCGAGAUGUGAAAGCCCGGGGCUCAACCUGGGGAACUGCCUUUUCGAACUGGCCAACUAGAGUGUGAUAGAAGGGUGGGAGAAUUUUAACGUGU
rnacentral:rRNA from 1 species